UACAGAGGUCCCAAGCGUUACUGAGAAUCACUGGGCUUAAAGCGUGUGUAGGCGGCUCGUUAAGUGUCUUGUGAAAUCCCACGGCUCACCCGUGGAACUGCUGGGCAUACUGGCGAUCUUGGGCCAACUAGGGGCAACUGGAACAAGCGGUGGAGCGGUGAAAUGCGUAGAUAUCGCUUGGAACGCCAAAGGUGAAAACAGGUUGCUGGGGUUGUGCCGACGCUGAGACACGAAAGCCAGGGGAGCAAACGGG
rnacentral:rRNA from 1 species